rnacentral:rRNA from 1 species
GGACGGGUGAGUAACGCGUGAGGAACCUGCCUUUCAGAGGGGGACAACAGUUGGAAACGACUGCUAAUACCGCAUAACACAUAGGUGUCGCAUGGCACUUAUGUCAAAGAUUUAUCGCUGAAAGAUGGCCUCGCGUCUGAUUAGCUAGUUGGUGAGGUAACGGCCCACCAAGGCGACGAUCAGUAGCCGGACUGAGAGGUUGAACGGCCACAUUGGGACUGAGAUACGGCCCAGACUCCUACGGGAGGCAGCAGUGGGGAAUAUUGGGCAAUGGGCGCAAGCCUGACCCAGCAACGCCGCGUGAAGGAAGAAGGCUUUCGGGUUGUAAACUUCUUUUGUCAGGGACGAGUAGAAGACGGUACCUGACGAAUAAGCCACGGCUAACUACGUGCCAGCAGCCGCGGUAAUACGUAGGUGGCAAGCGUUGUCCGGAUUUACUGGGUGUAAAGGGCGUGUAGCCGGGAGGGCAAGUCAGAUGUGAAAUCCACGGGCUCAACUCGUGAACUGCAUUUGAAACUACUCUUCUUGAGUAUCGGAGAGGCAAUCGGAAUUCCUAGUGUAGCGGUGAAAUGCGUAGAUAUUAG